GACGAACGCUGGCGGCAAGCUUAACACAAGCAAGUCGAACGCCGUAGCAAUACGGAGUGGCAGACGGGUGAGUAACACGUGGGAACGUGCCUUUCGGUUCGGAACAACUGAGGGAAACUUCAGCUAAAACCGGAUACGCCCUUCGGGGGAAAGUUUACGCCGAAAGAUCGGCCCGCGUCAGAUUAGGUAGUUGGCGGGGUAAUGGCCCACCAAGCCGAUGAUCUGUAGCUGUUCUGAGAGGAAGAUCAGCCACACUGGGACUGAGACACGGCCCAGACUCCGACGGGAGGCAGCAGUGGGGAAUAUUGGACAAUGGGCGCAAGCCUGAUCCAGCUAUGCCGCGUGGAUGAAGAAGGCCUUCGGGUUGUAAAGUCCUUUCGGCGGGGAAGAUAAUGACGGUACCCGCAGAAGAAGCCCCGGCUAAUUUCGUGCCAGCCGCCGCAGUAACAC
rnacentral:rRNA from 1 species